AGGAUUUUACCCAGAAAACAGACUUACACAAAGUGUUUUCUGCAAACUGUCAUAGCAACAGCACCCAUUUGUGACAUCAUGGAGUGAAGAGGCACAUUAUUCUCUGAGCCAAACUCUUUCUUCAAAUCAAACCCACAGAAGAAAAAUGCAGACACCAGGUAAGCCUGGUUGUGUAUAUUCUCAUCUUAUUUUCUUCUUUUAAGUGCGUAGAUUUCCUGAACUGGCUAGAUGUGGGUAGUUCCACUGCCACCAUUAUUCCUGGGGCUUUCUUACAUACUCCAACUUCCAUUCCGUGAAUGAAUCCAAAGAAGGUUGCCUUGACAACCACUCACCUCUCUCUCAUCAAGCACCCUGAACAGCCUCAAGUGCUUCAUUGAGAUAAAAGCCUGCAGAGCACCCAGAUUCAGGACCUCUGAUGACGCACAGCAGCUGAAAGGCUACCCUGGGAUGUGCUGCUGUAGAUAAAAGUUCUGAAAUGCUUCCUUUCCAUCACCUUUCCUGUCAGCUACCGCAGCCAUUCCCACUGACAGUACUUGAAGGAUGAGGCCUAUAAACUACCGAAAUAAAACGUCAUUGUCUAAGAUGCAACAAUUGAUAUAUGCACAGCAAACGGCUACGACCCCAAAGCUACCCAUGGCUGCAGCCUCUACUUGUCUCCUCAGGACAUGACUUCCUGUUCCUUGACAGAGGUUCUUGUCUGACCUUAAUAUUUUAAGAUAAAUUUUCCGAUCUCCACAGCAGUUUUUCUCUUCUGGAGAGUGAAUUCUGUGGCAAAUCCUGUGGUCAGCAGCUCACAAUGAGGUUCACCCAUGACACGGAGUUGGCUCCUGCUGCAGCUCUUUCUGGGUCAUAGAAUUCAUCAGAGAAUUGCUCAUGGCCCUCAGCCCCGAGCUAGGAUGGAGAGAUGGAUGAGGCCAAGGUCAGCCAUGCCCAUGGAGAGAGGCUGCCGUGCGUUGGAACGAUGCUUCAGAGGACAAAGACAUCAGCCCAAGUGUUGGCCAAGCAAUGGAAGGCAGUGGGGGUGGAUUUCUGAGAAUAUAGAAAAAGAGAAUAAAAAUUAUUGCUUGAUCAUGCAGGAAAUGGAUGCAAUAAAGGAGUCCAACAGCCUGGCCCCAGAUAGACAUUAUCUUGGAUUCACCUUGAAGUCCUAUUUUU
rnacentral:lncRNA from 1 species